GUGCUCCCUUCAGCAGCACAUAAACUAAAAUUGGAAUGAUACAGAGAAGAUUAGCAUGGCUCCUGCGCAAGGAUGACACGCAAAUUCGUGGAGUGUUCCAUAGUUUU
rnacentral:snRNA from 1 species